ensembl:snRNA U6 U6 spliceosomal RNA
GUGUUGUUUCAGCAGCACACAUAAUAAAAUUUUGAAAACUACAGAGAUUAGCAUGUGCAAGGAUGACAUACAAAUUUGUGAAAUGUUUCAUAUUUUA